CUCUAUGCUUUUAUGUAACAGUGUAGACAUGUAUAUUUUGAUGGAUUUGGGAUGUGGCAAACAACAAUUCCUCAGUUUCCUGAGUAUGUGUAAUCAAACAAAGCUGAUAUGAUCAUAUUUGAGUUUGGAGUAUUGGGGAUAAGAGGGCACAACUAUGUGCUGUUCCAUCUGUGUGAGGACUGAGUGCAGGCAUUAGCUGUCAGUGAGAUGGAGUGUUGCUUGGGACUUUCAGAUUGUAUCAGCAUUUCCCAAAGGGACGCACAUGCCCAGUGGGCAUCAUCGCAAUUAUCAUCAUACUCAUCAACACCACUGUCAUCAGUGUCAGUGGAAAAUAUUACAGGGCAGUAGUUUGAUUAAAAGUGGUCUGGCAAGGUGUUGCUCAUGAUCUUCAAUCAUCAUCAGCUUCUCCGUUUCCCUCAGCUUCACUGGCAUCUCUCUGGAGUUUUCCCCAGCAGUGCAAGGCGACUUCUCUCCCACUGAUCAAUGCUACUGUUAAAAUGAGUGUGGGGGAGAGGGGAGUGUGCCAAGAUGAUCCCUGGAAGCUAGAAAAGAUGCCUAUGGACCUGCCUCCAUUCCUCUCUCUGUCGGUCAGGCUGUAUCUCCCCUGGACUACCCUGCUUGGGCUCCUGCUGCUAGGUAGCUAUUAACACCCAGGCACUCAGCAGGGUGUUCAGUUUAAAAAACAAAGUCGGACGCUUCUAUACUGUAUCAAAUUGACAGCUGAUUAGGUCGUCCAUCUCCUCUCAUGCUAGAAUCCAUCUCCAUAAAGCAAUACCUUUUGUCAACAGCACAGUGCAAGCACUGACCACUGCAUCAUAUUUUACCAGCCCUAUUCAUUGUCCUAUUCAUUGUGUUUUGUUGACUCCCUCCCUCUCUCUCGCUCUCGCUCUCGCUCUCUCUCUCGCUGCUCCCUGCAGGGAUCUAUGAUGGUGACCUGCAUAACAAACAGAAGUGUCAGUGGGCAGGCCUCAUUGCAUACUGGACUGAGGUUGUGACAGGCCCUUACCAGGCAGAAUUUCAUGCACCAGUGGACACCAUUUUCCAUCCUACAGUAGAAAUUGAUACACAGAUGCCUAUGGUUCCCUCUUAUCUUCAGGCACUUCUCCUAUGAUCCUGAGAGUCUCCAUAAUGAUAAUGUCUCCCUUCUAAAAUGCAGCUGCCGGGUUGCCUGGAAACCCCUAAUCAGUAGACUCCUGGCCAAGAAGACACUGCUGCCAUAUAAACCCAGAAAGAGUCACUUCUAGUCAACUCUGCAAGAACUCCAGCUCUUGAAUUUGUCCCAUGACAAAUGCCAGCUCUUCUAAUCUGCAUUAAAUUGCAGUAAAGGCACUCACUAUUUCUCUUCCAUGGGACUGAUCUGCCAAUUCAUCCACCCGCUUCACUUGCUGAUGCUGCAAGGCAAAGGAGCUAUUUUUUUCUUUCCAGCAGGCUCUGCUGGUGUAUCAGCUUCUUGCUGUGAUCACACAGCGCAGCAAAAUAUUAAUUAAGCUAUCCUUAUGUACAGUAAUCCACGAUUCUCUUUCGGAAAAAUGAUUGAUUUCAGUUUCUCAGUUGAAUAUGCAUAUCAUGUAGUGUUUACAUAUAAAAUGCGACUAUCUUCAAGAUUGUUAGACUCUUCUGAGAAAAACAAGCCUAUUUACAUGGUGUUUGGAUCACUAUUGUCUGUGUCUAACCAAACACAUCCAACCAUAUCUGAGUUACUCUGGACAAUCUAAAAUAUCCCUUCACUGUCACUCUCACACUCCUGUUUUAUUUACUUUCUCAUGCUCUGUCUCCUGAUUGGCUGCAGCUCCUGCCAGUUACCAUAUAGCAGGACUUCUUUCAUGCCUGAACUUGGGGCAUGAUAACUUUGGACAUAUCUGAACUGCCAUAUAACAUCCCUGCCAUGACCUGACAUCCCUGACACAGCAGUGAUUGUGAAUUACUACCACAGGAAUGUCAGGUGACUCACAGCAACUCGGGAACAAUGCAUUUUACUUCAUAACAUCAACUCAAUAAUCAACCAUUUUGCUCUUUCUUUCUUUCAAGAAAAAUCCUGUAGGCAUUUCCCAUUCUCCUGAAGGGUCCCUAUAGUGCUAGAGUUGACAUUAUUUUCAAAAAAUAAAAACAAUGUUAGUAUCGUCCAGCCAACAGUAAUUCAACCACUUGCAGUCUUAUUAAGAAAGGAGGAGAAACAAUUUCUCUCUUGCUCUCUCGCCAUUUAUAAGUGACUUCCAUCUGUUUUCACUUUAGCAAUAAAACUUGUUUUAUGUGCUUGUGUAUGUGUGUGUGUAUGCGUGUGCGUGAGAGAGUGAAGCCUCCUGUGCCAGUUCAAAUCUAUCCAAGCCAUUCUUGUUUAUUUUCCAUGAGUUUUAGCACUGCUGUUAAUGUGGCCAAACAGAUUCCAUAGAAUUUUCUGAGAUGGGAAAUGUUAGGAUGCUAAUCUGAACCAUAGGAAAUUCACUAAAUCAUGUCAUGCUAAAUUAUGUCUCUGAAAUGGUAAAAAAUAAAUAAAUAAAUGAAUGACUCCUUCAUUUUCUCAGUUUCCCACUUAUCAUUUAAUAGCAACUUUGGCUGUGGAUGGUUUGGCAUUGUAAAUAGUUCCAUAUGCUAGUCUAAGGGCAGAGUUUCUGUAAU